GUCUUUUUGAGUUAUUUUUAAAGUCUGACCUGCCCACUGAAUUUUAAAUGGCCGCAGUAUUUUAACUGUGCAAAGGUAGCAUAAUCAUUAGUCUUUUAAUUGAAGGCUGGUAUGAACGGUUGGACGAGGUAUAAGCUGUUUCAUGUAAAUUUAUGAUAGAAUUUUAUAUUUUAGUUAAAAAGCUAAGAUAUAAUUAAAAGACGAGAAGACCCUAUAAAUCUUUAUAUUUUAUAUAUUUUGAAUUUUUUGGAUUUGUUUUAUUUUUAUUAUAUAAAAUAUUUUGUUGGGGUGAUAUUAAAAUUUAAUAAACUUUUAAUUAUUUUAGUUCAUUAAUUUAUGUUUUAUUGAUCCAUUAAUAGUGAUUAUAAGAUUAAGUUACUUUAGGGAUAACAGCGUAAUUUUUUUGGAGAGUUCAUAUCGAUAAAAAAGUUUGCGACCUCGAUGUUGGAUUAAGAUAUAAUUUUAGGUGUAGCUGCUUAAAUGUUAAGUCUGUUCGACUUUUAAAUUCUU
rnacentral:rRNA from 1 species